UACGUAGGGUGCAAGCGUUGUCCGGAAUUAUUGGGCGUAAAGAGCUCGUAGGCGGUUCGUCGCGUCGGCUGUGAAAACCUGAGGCUCAACCUCAGGCCUGCAGUCGAUACGGGCGGACUUGAGUACUGCAGGGGAGACUGGAAUUCCUGGUGUAGCGGUGAAAUGCGCAGAUAUCAGGAGGAGCACCGGUGGCGAAGGCGGGUCUCUGGGCAGUAACUGACGCUGAGGAGCGAAAGCGUGGGGAGCGAACAGG
rnacentral:rRNA from 1 species